CAUUAAAGUCUACUUAAAAUGUAAGAAAAUACUAGGCCCGAUCUCGUCUGAUCUCGGAAGCUAAGCAGGGUUGGGCCUGGUUAGUAUUUGGAUGGGAGACCACUUUGGAAUACCAGGUGCUAUAGCCU
rfam:Callithrix jacchus chromosome 2, whole genome shotgun sequence